rnacentral:rRNA from 1 species
AGUGAACGCUGGCGGUAGGCCUAACACAUGCAAGUCGAACGGCAGCACAGUAAGAGCUUGCUCUUACGGGUGGCGAGUGGCGGACGGGUGAGGAAUACAUCGGAAUCUACUUUUUCGUGGGGGAUAACGUAGGGAAACUUACGCUAAUACCGCAUACGACCUACGGGUGAAAGCAGGGGAUCUUCGGACCUUGCGCGAUUGAAUGAGCCGAUGUCGGAUUAGCUAGUUGGCGGGGUAAAGGCCCACCAAGGCGACGAUCCGUAGCUGGUCUGAGAGGAUGAUCAGCCACACUGGAACUGAGACACGGUCCAGACUCCUACGGGAGGCAGCAGUGGGGAAUAUUGGUCAAUGGGCGCAAGCCUGAUCCAGCUAUACCGCGUGGGUGAAGAAGGCCUUCGGGUUGUAAAGCCCUUUUGUUGGGAAAGAAAAGCAGCAGGUUAAUACCCCGCUGUUCUGACGGUACCCAAAGAAUAAGCACCGGCUAACUUCGUG